AUUUAUAUCUACACUUCUUGGAUUUAUGUCCACCAUUUCUUCAGUGGAAAAAGAUCCCUAUUGUAGUUAUCAAUUUAUGUAGGUCUUGUCUUCUAAAGCCUAAUAUCUAAUUAAAAAAAUGCAAUGUUUAGUGCUACCCUGUCUUUACUUCUGUCGAAGUUUACCUUACACGCGAAUCCAAAAAAUCGAGUGCAGGUCAAAUCAUGGAAUUUUAAUGUAGAAUAAUAAUUAUAACAAGGCACUCAAUGGGUCAAGUGGUAGAGCACUCGCUCUAUGAUGCAAGUGUCCUAGGUUCUAAUCCCCUUUAGGUCACCAGGAAUUUUUCUGGCGUUAAAGGUGUUCAAAUUGCAUCCAGUGAACUUCACUGCACUUGAUUCAACAGGCAUGGGACUGACAACCUCAUCCCGUAUUAGAAAAAAAAAUUGCAUGUCUAGAAAUCCCCCUGCUGGAAGGCCUAGUUCCUUCAUGGAAUGUUGUGCCAGCAUUAUUAUUAUUAUUAUUAAUAAUAAUAAUUAUAAUAAUAAUCAUUUGAUUGGUUAGGAAACGGGUGACAGUCACAGGGGUCAGGAGGGAGAUAAUCCUUGUAUACGCACAGGAGAUUUUCCUCAAAUAAGUUACAGAACGCUGUAAAAUAUGCAAAAAAAAUUUUUGCGCUUAAUUAUUCACCUAUUUUCGGUGCUAAAAUUGUUAGAAUAAAAACAUAUUCACACUCCUAAUAGACAUAUAAAUCCUUGACCUUACACAUUUUAUUUAAAAUUGAAACAAAGAAUACAAAAAAACAUUUACCGUUUUUUUCUGAACUAUAGAUUCUACUAAAAUAACUAAUUUUUUUUUAUUAUCGACAGUGAUUAGGGGAACUGUUUGUAAUUUGGAACAGCUUGUAAUUUCGGACACUUAGAGGGUAGAAUUGGACAUUACAUAUAAAUUGAUUAAUAUUAUGAAAUUUUCUUUUAAUAUUUAAUGAAUAAUGUAUUCUGUCUAAAUAUUUAUUCAUUUUAGAAGAAUUUAAUACUAAAUUAGUUGAAUCUUGAAGUUGUUGAAACGCAGUGUGAGCAGUUUGUUACGAGAACUAUAACAGAAUUUUGUGUAAACUUCAGCCUUAUUCAUCUGUGGUGAAGCACUACUAAUUUUUCUUCGAUAUUUUUAAGUGAUAUUAUUAAAUAUUUAUUGUAUAGAGUAAGAUAGGGUAAUUUGAAAUCAUUUAUAAUUUGGAACCGUAAGAUUUUCUAAUAGUUUUAGAUGGAAAAAGGAAAAAACAACGAAGUACACUCGAAUGUGAAGUCUUGUACUUCUUCGUGGUUUUCGUUUUCCCUUUGACUGUCUGAAACAGUGAGAAAAUAUCAAAAUUUCAAAAUGGACAUUAUUCCAAAUUACCCCAUCUCACCCUAUUGUUUUAAUUCUCGUUAAUGGUGAUUUGUUCAUUUGACCUGAAGUGAAAUUUGCCUGGUGAAUUACGUGUUUCGUAUGAAAAAUGGACAAUUUUGUCAGAAAUUUCUCCAGUGACGUGAUACUUGUUUUUUUUGUUCAGGUGGUUUUUUUCUCGAAAUUUUGUAAACUUUUAGUUUUUGAGAUGACUAGGUUGUAUAAAUGCCUGAAGAAGUAAAGGAGCACCAUAUUUACGAACAAAAUACAAUGCAAAAAGCAAGAGAAUGCGUGAAUCCUUGUACAGUUGGAGUGACGAAGUGAUCUCUCUUUAAUGAAUUAUAUGAAAGUUUUCAAACUUCUUGAAAUAUCCAAGAAGAAUGGGGUUCCACCCCAUAAUCAGGAAGAAGACUUGGUUCUUGAAAUAGACGAGAAUGGCUAUUCUAUUACGCCGAAUCAGCUGUCCGUAAUUACAAGCAAAGUGUCCAAAAUUACAAACAAGAUAUUCAAAAUUACAGUCAAAAUCAUCUCUACAUAUUUCUUCAUUUUUAAAUAUAUUUUUUUUUUGUUUUGUACAUUAUUCAGUUUACAAAUUUUAUUCAGUUUAUGAUAUAGUGUAAAAAUAUUUUUUAGAUACUUUAAUCUUUUUGAAUUGGGCGAUAUUUAAAAGCAUUUCCGUGGCAGUCAAGCCAGAGCUCUCACAGCCCUACCUUUUAUACUUUACACCACGGGACCCCCUAUACAAAAAAAAAAAAACAAAAAAAAAUAACAAAAUUUUCCAUGAUUCUAAACAUUGUUUAAUUAGGGUUGAUAUAAACUCAUUGAUAACUUUUAAAGGUCUUUUAUUAGAAAAUUAGAUUUCAAAAUAAAAAAAAACUGAUUUAGGAAGGUUAAAAAUCUAAAUAUUUCAGGUUAUAAACACAAGAUUAUAUGAAAUUCAAUUCCAGUGUUUUCAAAAUCUGACACACAAAUUUCUCUGAGUAUAAAAUCAUCCCGUCCAAUCGAGCUUUUACUCGUCUUCCCAGAAAUAUCGGUUUGCUCCAUUUUAUAUGGCUUGUAUGUGAAGUCAUUGAAUUAUUCUUCAAAUUAAGACAAUCAAUUGUAUUAGGUGAGAUUUCAAUUGUGGAAGAUAUUUAAUAAUCGAUUUUAUAAAAGAUGUAUGAGAAUGAUAUUCAGGACAUAAUUGAAAUCUUCUACAUAGGUUUCAUCAGUUUCCACGUGUCCUUCUGCUCUCCAAUUAAACUGGUCCCCUGGUUUGAAAAUCGCUGAAAGCAUCCAAUGUAUUUUGGGAAUUAAUACCAUGUAGACCUGUUUGGUGCACAAAUUGCUCCCUAAUGAGACUUUAACCACUGAAAAUUAUUAAAUUUGCUCACAUUUUCGCUAAAUUAAUGGGUUCUAUCCUAUAGCUGGGGAAUAUCAAUAUUGAUUUUAGCUUUUUGGAUGCUUAGUUAAAAAUUUUGACGUACUGCCGUGCGCAAAAAUACACACUAUUUUCCACUCUACGUAAGUUUGAGGUCCUUUUUGAGAAAAAAAAUAAAAAAAAACAGAAAAAACAAAAAUAAAUACAAAAAAUAGAAAUUAUUAAAAAAGAGUAAUUUAGAAAAAUUGUUGUAAGUGUAGGAAAUUUAUUUUGAUCGGUUACUUUUCAAAUUGUAGGCUGGCAGGAUUGUUAAUAAAAGGUGAAGAUGAUAUAUUUUAUAUUUUGUGGCAAAUAUAGAGACAAGAAGCAAAAAUGGUAUUCUUUACUCUCAAGAAGUUGCUACACGUUAAUUUAAUAGUAAAUGUUAUUAAGCGUUAAGAUGAACAAAACAAACCAAUUUUAAGAUAAAUAGUGAAGAAAAUUUGCCUAUGUUUCUGUAUUAAGGACAAGGAUAUCAUUUUAAAUGGAUAAAACUUAUUUACUCAGCAAAAAGAAAGUUAAUAUUUGAAGUGAGAUGACAAACAAGACAAGAAGUAUAAGAGAAAUAAAAUUGAAUUUAGCAAAAGAAA